GGAAAGUGUUGGUGGCUGAUUCAUAAUGAUAAUGAUAACGAGUCUUUAUUGGUCAUAGCACAGUGAAAUUCUUUUCUUCGCAGAGUCUUACCCGCCAAGCCACCACUGGCCCAUGGUCAUGAGGUGAAGAGUAAAAGUAUUCAGGAUGUGCAAGGGGGGUUAAAAUGCUGAAAGCCACAGAGGCAGGAGAGAUCUAGUGGAGGCUGAUGACAGGAGGGGCAAGGGAAAGUGAAUGAUACAAGCUGAUUAACUGAAAGAUGGAGCAGACUGCUUCUCAUGAAGGGUUAGCUCAAUACUAGGUUUUGCGGAUGCUGCAUAUUAAGCACAAUAAGGCAAGUGCAUAUCAUGCCCAAAGCCAGGGGGUUUUGGAGCAGUUCCAUCAAAUACUAAAGUCGUGACUGCGUGCUUAUUGUGCGGAUAUGGAGGGUGAUUGGGAAGAGAGAUUGCCAUGGUUGAUGUUGUUGAUGUUGGUUGAUGGGAGGUAGGUCAGAAAAGGACUGGGUUCAGUCCCAAUGACCUGGUGUUUGGGCACACUGUUCGGGGGCCAUUGGCUAUCCUGCAGGAUAAUUGGAUCGAAAGUAUACCUCCCCAGAAUUUGCUAAACUAUGUGAAUGGCUUUAAGCAUAGAUUAUAUGAGGGAGGUAAGAUGACAAAAGAACAUCUGCUUUCAUCACAGGUCUGAAUGAAGUCACUUUUUGAUCAACGUGUAGAGUAUCAGGAAUUUGUUCAAGGUGAUCAAGUGUUGGCUCUGUUGCCAGUGGAGGGUUCACCUUUCCAGGCACGGUAUUCUGGCCCCUUUGUGGUGGUCAAACAGGUUACUGAUUUCAAUUAUUUAAUUGCUACACCAGAAAGAAGAAAGUCAGCAUAGUUGUGCCAUAUCAAUUUGUUAAAGACCUACUAUUGCCGAUCUCAUGAAUCAUCAAGUGUUGAGUCUGAGGUGAAACCUACCUUAAUAGCUGGGCCUAGUUUGGAGUUUCUCCCCUGAUGAUACUGUAUUGUUGGUACAACUUAAAUUCUGAGGCUCUUAAAAACUUGAAUGCUUUAAAUGUUUGCCCAUUUUUCAGAUGGUAAAUGUGCUGAUCUGAUAGCCCUUACUGAGGAUCAUGUUUCUUUAUUUAGCGACAUACCCUCAUGUACACCUUGAUAUUGAUGUUAAGGAUGUGGAUCCCAUUCACCAGCGUUUUUAUCGUGUUCCCCCAAACACACGUAAUCAUAUCAGUGCUGAAAUCCAGUAUAUGCUGCAUCAUGACAUUGUUUGGCCAUCAUUUUCUAGCUGGGCAUCCCCCUGCUUGCUUGUAAAUAAACCAGAUGGAUCUUACCGGUUUUGUACUGAUUACUGUAAGACAAAUAAAGUGACCAAACCAGACUCAUUUCCAAUGCUUUUUAUAGAGGAUUGUAUUGAUCAAGUGGGGGUUUCAAAAUUUGUUAGUAAAAAUCGAUCUGCUUAAAGGCUACUGGCGGUUCUGUUGACCCCAAGAGCUCAAGAAAUCUCUGCGUUUAUUAUGUCUGAUGUGAUAUUUUUCUAUAAUGUUAUGAGAUUUGGCCUUCGAAAUGCACCUGCAACCUUUCAGCAACUCAUGAAUAGGGUUGUUGCCAGGUUGCAGGGAGUCACGGUUUAUUUAGAUGAUGUAGUGAUUUUUAGUGAUUCAUGGGAGUGGCAUCUGGGUCACACUGCAAGCCUGUUCUCUUGUUUUAGGGAGGCAGGCCUUACAAAUCAACAAUUGACUGACUGGUGCUUCUUUCUACAGUCUUAUGCGCUUGAUAUUCAACAUAUCAAGGGCAGAUAAUGUGAUUGCUGACACAUUGUCUAGAGUCCCUUACUCUUCUUAACUAUUCUUCUUAACUGCUGACUAACUGACUUAUUUUGUUUGCUCUCUUUGGUUCUCUUAAAUUGCUUCUACAUUGAGCAAUGUUACAAGGAUUAGAGGAGCAUAAUUGUAUAAUUUAAAGUAAGACUUUAAUGUUGUGAAUUCUUUAUAUUUCCAGAUUUUUGAGUUAAUACUGAUGUCUGGUGAAAAAUGCAUGUGAAUAGCCUCAGCGGAAAUAUAUUUACUGAAAAAAUGUUGACAUGUCCAAUACUUUUUUCCCCUCACUCUAUUUUGAGAUACUGGAUUUUUGAUCUCCAUGAGCUGUAAGCCACAAUCAUUUAGAUUGAAAAAUAUUUCACUUUAUGAAUCUAGAAUAAAUGAAAGGUUUUUUUUUAAUUAAAUGACAGAAAAAAUGUUACUUUUCUACAAUAUUCUAAUGUUUUGAGAUGCACCUGUAUGUCGUACAGUGAAGUCUAUUUUAUUUUACAUUUAAUUGCUUUAUUCAAUUUCUGUAGUAUUUCUUACUUGAAUAGUACUAUUAGACUUGAGAAAACAUACAGUUAUUGUGAAAUAAGAUUGUAGUCAUAUCGCCCACUCCUAAACAGUAGCAUUUGGUGAUUCCAGUCUUGAAUUUGACAUAAAAUGUGAACUGUACUUCUUAAUGUAGUAAAUAUCAUAAACCCUGCUGAUAGGGAUUUUUUUUUUUUUUUAAUUUUAGGAAUUAAAAUGAAAAAAGUAACAAGAACAGAGCUGUGUUCAGAAAUGAGUUUGCUCUUCAUAGACAGAUUAAAAGCAGUAAUAAAGCAUGAUGCUUGUUGUUAUAUAGGUUCUCAGCCUAUAUAACUGUGGGGGAGAGACAUCAACUCAUUGAAAUAUCAGCUCGAACUGGAGAUACGAUAUAGUGUGAUACUAUAAACAAAACAGUUUCAUUUGUAUAUUCAUACACUUGAAUAAUCUUAUAAAAGUUCUACAUGUACCUCUUUAUCCUUUUUUCUUUGAAACCAUUUUUUGAUAG
ensembl:lncRNA